UGCCUAAUUGCGUUUCACUAAGGUCCCAUUCUUCAUACGUAUGAAUAGCGUCUUAACUCACUUUUACCGCUACCUAUUUGUAGUAAGCGCUCAUACUAUUGGGACCGGAAUGCAACGAGCGCGACUGCACCACCUAAUUGCCCCUUUAUCUACCAUUAAUUACUUUAUUAACCGCCCUGUACGGGCACCGGGGCCUUACCUUUACUGAAACUAGCUGGACCGCUGCUUUCCUUUAAGCCAGAGGAAGGUUGCGGCAAUAACAGGUCUGUGAUGCCCUCAGAUGUUCCGGGCCGCACACGUGCUACAAUGAUCAGCACAAAGAGUAUUACCUAUCUUCUUAUACCUAACCCAAUAUGUUAAACUUAUUGCGUAAGGGUAUUGUCUUAACGACUUAUCCGCUUUAGCGCUUUAAGAUUAUUGGACGGUUAUGCCUGCCUCGAAAGAGUGUACAGGGCAGCAAGAGUAAUGAUUCCCUCGUUUUUACUACUAAUACCGCGCUUGGUAACAUAUUACACUCGAUUAAGUAGGGUCUUUGCUUUUAAUAGCAAUUGCUAUCCUCACCCUUAGGCUCUAAGGAUAUUACUAUCUCUCUAAGGUCUACAGGGAGGUGUAUAUGGCGCACUUACUUAUUCACGGUGGGGACAGACCAUUGUUAACUGUUGGUCUCGGUCUCAACUAGGAAUGCCUCGUACGGGUUGGUUCACCAAACCACCCGGAAUAUGUCCCUGCCCUUUGUACACACCGCCCGUCGCUCUUAUCGAUGAACUCUCUUGUGAGGCUGAGGGACUGCGUCUAUUAUACCCGUGUAAUCCUAAUAUCUCACAUACAUUUCGCUAAAGGCGAUUUUGCUCUAAGGAUUUACACGACCUUACGCACAAACUUAUUCGACCAAGUGGGUUUAAAGGAAAGAGAAG
rnacentral:rRNA from 1 species